UACGGGGGGGGCAAGCGUUGUCCGGAAUUAUUGGGCGUAAAGAGCUCGUAGGCGGUGUGUCACGUCGGCCGUGAAAACCUGCAGCUUAACUGUGGGCGUGCGGUCGAUACGGGCAUCACUGGAGUUCGGCAGGGGAGACUGGAAUUCCUGGUGUAGCGGUGAAAUGCGCAGAUAUCAGGAGGAACACCGGUGGCGAAGGCGGGUCUCUGGGCCGAUACUGACGCUGAGGAGCGAAAGCGUGGGGAGCAAACAGG
rnacentral:rRNA from 1 species